UCCCGCUCCCUUCCCCCCACGCCCGCACUUUGCCAUUUAACAAAGCGGCGCAACCAAAAGUUACGUUUCCAUAGACGCCAGCCGCUUUCCUGGCGGCCCCUCCUCGGCUGCUGGGGCUGCUCUGGGAAAAGCAGGGUUUCACCCGUCAAAGAUUAACGCGGGACUCGGGGGAUCGUCUUUCUCCCCCCUCCGCUUUUUCCACAGAAUGACAGAAGCGUUUGGGUUGGAGAUCAGCUACUUCAAGCCCCGGGCAAGGCAGGGUCACCUGGAGCAGGUGACACAGGAACACGUCCAGGUAUCAGACAUCUGCAAGACACAGGUUGACACGUUGACAACAAUAAUCUGACUUGUCCGCCAAACAAACCUUGGAAUUGUUCCCAUUCAGAUGAAUGUUGGAUUGUGGACCAGACACAUGGACCAAACCUGCUACAGGGCAACCCAGCAAGAAGCAGCAGGGAUGGACACUGAGAAAAGGCAAAGCAAUUGUGUCUGCAGCAGUUCCCUGCCCUGAUUCACACAUCUCCACAAACGUGUGUCACCAUAAUGGCAAGGCAGGAAGUGUUUAUGCCAAUGCUUCUGCCAAGAAAACGUACAUGGGAAAAAUGGGACC